rnacentral:rRNA from 1 species
UACGUAGGGUGCAAGCGUUGUCCGGAAUUAUUGGGCGUAAAGAGCUCGUAGGCGGUCUGUUGCGUCGGCUGUGAAAACCCGAGGCUCAACCUCGGGCCUGCAGCCGAUACGGGCAGACUAGAGUUCGGCAGGGGAGACUGGAAUUCCUGGUGUAGCGGUGAAAUGCGCAGAUAUCAGGAGGAACACCGGUGGCGAAGGCAGAUCUCUGGGCCGUAAACUGACGCUGGAGGAGCGGAAA